AUGACUAGGUCCAUGAACCACCUAUCAGACGACUCCAAGCAUUGCAGGGACCCGAAGGCGCGCUGCCAUCUUCGCUCCUCCCUCACCGGAGCCGCAGUCAUGCUAAGACCCCAAAGAACCAACGCACCACAGCUGGAACCAUCGCCAACGAAGAGAGUCGUGGAUAUGAAGGAUCAAACAUGUAACCACACGAACAAAGCUGAACGGAAACUCAAUGCAAAAAUAUCAACCAGAAACCAGCACCAACCAAAUCCCACAACAUCUAACGAAGACAAUCUUCACACGCCCUCAAAUGAUGCUAUACGCACCAUCGGACAAAGAUGA
rnacentral:rRNA from 1 species